rnacentral:rRNA from 1 species
UUUAUCAGAGAGUUUGAUCCUGGCUCAGGAUGAACGCUGGCGGCGUGCUUAACACAUGCAAGUCGAACGGGAAACAUUUCAUUGAGGCUUCGGCGGAUUUGAUCUGUUU